UACGUAGGGUGCAAGCGUUGUCCGGAAUUAUUGGGCGUAAAGAGCUCGUAGGCGGUCUGCUACGUCCGCUGUGAAAACCUAGGGCUUAACCCUGGGCUUGCAGUAGAUACGGGCAGACUAGAGGUAGGUAGGGGAGAAUGGAAUUCCCGGUGUAGCGGUGAAAUGCGCAGAUAUCGGGAGGAACACCGGUGGCGAAGGCGGUUCUCUGGGCCUUACCUGACGCUGAGGAGCGAAAGCGUGGGGAGCGAACAGG
rnacentral:rRNA from 1 species